UCCGGGGUAGCUCAGCGGUAGAGCGAAGGACUGUUAAUCCUCAGGUCGUGGGUUCGAAUCCCACCCCCGGAGCCA
rnacentral:tRNA from 2 species